UUUUUCAUAAAAAUUUGACACUAAAAUAAUUAAGCCGUAGAAUGAAUAAACGAAAAAAAAAAAAAAUAGCGGCCAGCAGUAAGUGUUACAUUGCUAUAUAUACCAUACGUAAAACCCGUAAAAAUUGACCGUGAGAAAAAAAUGAAGAUUCAGCACCGGCUUUCUAUUAAAAUAAAAGUUACCGAAUAGAAUACAUAAAAAUAAUCGAUUUGAGUUCAAUAAAGCCCAUUAACAUUAACAUUAAAUAAAACUGGACACUACACAGAAAAAAGAGGCGUUGUAAAUCAAAAAAGAAAGAUGACAAUAAAUAUUUAAAAUUAUUGCUGAUUACCCGCGUUAAAAGUGUGCGAUGAUUGGCUAGAGAUGUAUACUAAAAAUAAUAAUAAUGGCAAUAGAAUAUUGUAUAGUAAGAUACUCCAGGAGCUAAGUCGUAAAUGUCAAAGGCGAGCUGAGGACAUUAGUAUCUGAAUUUGAAAGUAAUGAGUAGAAGUAGAGAGUGAGGACGAAAUACCAUACUAAAUAUAUUAUCACACACAUAUAUGUUGAUUGCAUGCACAGAUGCUGAUGAAGAACCUAAAGAUAGAGUGAUAUAAGAUGUUAAAUCUUCGUCAUACAAAUUCAUAAGAGCAAGAGGGAGCAAGAUGUAAAAGAGCAAGAGACUCAAGUCGCCACGCUGGCUGCUGCUAUAAUAUUCCUAUCUCUUACACUUACCAUGUUUAUGUUUUAUAUAUCCCAUCCCAUCCCAUUCUAUCUCAUCCAAGUACGAGCAUAUAGCUCCUAUAUCUUCUGUCUUGUCUCAGACGAUCGAUGAACUGAGUUUGCUUGGAUAUUAUGUUAUCUUUACUGAGUCCAGCUUCUGAGGAUGAAAAUCUGAGUUAGACCCACCUCGGAGGCAGUACGGUGGUAGCCGAGGGUGUAAUAGGCGGCAUAGGGGGCCCAGGCGGCGGG
rnacentral:misc_RNA from 1 species